UUAAAUCCUUCCUAUACCCACUGUCGUGUGUCUUCUCUGUAAUAAUACCCACAAAAAACAAAAACAAAACAAAGCUUAAUUAGAAUCAAGGAAGAGACAGAUAAGGAAACAGAUUCUGAACGCCAUGUUACUGGACGCUCCUCAUCUCCACCCGUAAGGCCUACCUGUUAACUUGUACUAUUGUUGAGCUUUUACAGAGAAUACGAAGAGGGAGAGAGGGGUCUAGGGCCUAGGGGACACCUCACGAUCUGGGUAUAUUUUUUCUUUUCGGUUGUUGCCCCGCGACAAGUGAGAAAGGGCACGAUCAAUCAUGCCAUCAGGUGCAAAGAAGAGAAAAGCAGCUAAGAAAAAGAGGGAACAGCAGGCCAACAAUAACAGCAACAAUUCUUCUUCAUUAGAUGACAGUAGCCCUCGAGGAAGUGAAGAUCCGAGAAGCCAGGACGAGAGGGAGAGCGAUAGUGGUGAGGUUGGUUCUCCUUUAUCACAGGACCACCAUAACGAUCAGCAUCCAUUUAAUGAGGAGAAUCAAGAAUCUGAGAAGACAAACUCGUCGUCCUUAGCCUCUGAAUGCAAGCCCAAUGAUGGAGUCAUUGAGGAUGCAGAAGGAAGCCAAAAAAUUGGAGUAGGGGAUGACACUAUCGUUAUAAUUGAGAAAGAACUGAACCCUGAGCAGUAUAUGGAGAGCAAAGACGUUAAUGUGGAGCAUGUUCAGUCUGCAAAGGAGGCACAUGAUGGAUAUGACAAAAGCUCUAGCAGUAGUAGUUCUGAUGAUGAGCCUCAAGUUUUGGACAAGAAAUGGAAGGAGGAAGCCCUUAAUUCAGCUUCAGAUAAUGUGCAAAAGGUAUUUACUGAAGAGGUGACACAGGCUUUGGGUCUUGAAAAACCACUUAAUAAAGCAAAUGGUAAUUCAUUUACAGAAACUGCCCCUAGUGUUGACUUGGUUGCGCCUGUGGUGCCUAUGUCUGAAGUGGCAAAGCAUGUGAUGGAAGGUGCUGAAGUUGAGAAUUCAGAGGUUCUGGAUGUUGUUGAACCUGGGUUGAAGGAAAAUGAAGAAAAAUUGCUGCGGGAAUCCAAUGAUGUUUUAUCUCGUUUGGUACCAGAGAAAAAUAAGGAUAAUCUUUUCCCCUUAUUGGAUGAAAAUGUUGGGUCAUCAACAAAUAUGGUUAGUUCUACUGUGAAUGGUAAUGAGGAUAAGGCAUUGCCUUUGUCAGGUGCUCAUAGUGCUGAAACUAGCAUGUAUGCAGAAAACAUCAAAGACUCUGGGAUUUUAAGUGUUAAUGUAGUUGGAAAUGAGUCUAGGACAUUGACAUCAUCAGGUGCUUAUACUUCUGAAACUAGUAAUGAUGCAGAUAAGGCCAAAGAUAUUGAGACUUCUGAGUAUACUGAAACCCAGCCUCUCGUACCUCCAGCUCCACAAGUAUCGCAGAGAACCUCCUGGAUGAGUUGCUGUGGUUUAUUUGAUGUUUUUAUAGGCUCCAAUAGAUAAUUUCAGGAUCACGCGUUCUUUUGCAAUGUAUCAUGUGCUAUGAAUUAAUUUGCUCCAACCUUUUUUAUAUAAAACAGAGCAUGUUGGUGCUCCGGUAGAUUGAGAAGCUCGUGAAACUUGAAGAGGAUUUGGCUUGGAAGUUCAUAAUAGCUCAGAUUAGUCUUGUCAAAAAGUUUUCCCAGAGAAUAAUGGGCAAGAAAUCUAAGUAGACAAACAAUUAUUAUACGCUGCAUAUAGUUGUAGUGAUGUCACUGGUAGGCAGGUUAAUUUCCAUGCUUUAUUUUCUUUUCUGUUGAUAUUUCAGUGUGUUAAUAGACGGUGUGUUGUAUCUAUUUCAUUUCAUUUUGCAUUUUAGGCGGAUGCAUGACUUCAAAACUAAUAAUUUUCGUAUGAGAUCAAUGUUUUCUUGAUUA